CCUGGAGGCCCCUUGGAGAUAGGCCUUACGCAGCUAGGCCAGCUGUAGCUAUAUCUGAUCUGUACUUCCUUGCCCUAAUGGAGCUGAUAUACCUGGACCACGUCGAGUGGUACCUGGGUGAGAGAGUGUUACGGUAGUUUGGGAUUGAACAGCCGGUUCCUGAUCCGCCACCCCAAUCCUUCCAUGCAUCGCAGACGGGUGGAGCUGCUAGAUAUAGCUUACUGGACACUUUCAGAGAUCAGAUUAGGCACUUCAAUGCUGGAGGAGACUUCUUCGAGAUGCAUUUGACCGACCAGUUUGGAGAUUUGCGGUAAUCAGACUGUCUCUCAGUGCUCUGCGCGUCGCUGGGGGCGUGUGCUCAGUUGAAGAGGUCAGAGUCUUCCAACCCCCCCAUUGGGAGCUGUGAUACUCAACCCGGGCCUAGGCCGAUCGCUUGAGCUGCACCUGACAAGGGCCCUUAUCACGUAAGGUACAAGUCUUAUACGAAAAAGAAGUGAUAGUAUAGGUAAUGGAACUAGCGAUAGCUUUGUUAUGAGCUUGUUCUAGUAAGGGCUCGCGAUCCCUUGCUUGUUUGAUUCCUUUCCUUUUAUUCAAUCUCUCUCUUCCCUUUUUCCUUUAGAACUCUACUGGUGACUAAGGAAUAAAAACAAGCUCUUUUGUAUCACUUCAAUCGCUAGCCUGUAAUCCAGCCUAGCAUACUGAAGUAAGGAAUCCUAGAGUUCCCAAAGCUUCAUUUAGGAGAGCCUACAGAUCUCUUUAAAGUAAAGUACAAUAUCGACUUGAAUGAAACUAUAGCACAGAGGAAUGCUAGCGAGCGCUCAUAUGCAAGAACAGGAGCUCGGACUCUUGUUGUAGUUUGAGCCUUAGAAGGAAGCAAGCGAAGGGAUAGGAAAGCAAGGUAUCCUAUAAGCACAGAGGUAAUAAGCAGGCAGUUAAUUGAUUUCGGUAUUCAAGAUAUAUCCUGCCCUUUCAUACUCGUAGACUUCUGUAAUAGGCUUUCUCUUACGGUACUUGCCUAGGAGCGAGAACUCCAGUUCAAACGUUUCAAGUGUAGCAGAGGAAAGGUAGCGAUUAGUUGUUGACUUUUAUAGAAGAAAGGUAAUGCAAUUAAGAUUAGAGUCAAGCCUGGAAGCCGGAGAGUGAAGAGAAGUUCUGAAAGAAAAGACAUUCACAGCUAUCUCAUAUAGGAGAGUGCGUAUAGUUUUGGACAUCUAUUAACUUUACUGAAUUCCUUAAAGUUUAUUAAUGCGGAUCAUUACAUUGUGAAUGUUCGUUAUUAUGGGGAACAAUUCUUC
rnacentral:lncRNA from 1 species